GCAACGUGUUGGACCUUCCGGAGCUUCUCAGAAGACAGAGGGUUUUCUUUUGAGAUCCCUCCCGUAGCUGUCAUACAGAGUGCGAUUUAUGACUUGUAAGUUGUGCUAUGGAGCUUGACAACCAAACCUUCAAUACAUUUAUGAAGAGAGCACUACCGAGACUUUAUACAAUGGAAUAAAAUAACAAAAUGUGCUGACAGCAUUCUUCCACUCAAAGAGAAAAAGUACUUCAACUCGGCCGGGCACGGUGGCUCACGCCUGCACGCCUGUAAUCUCAGCACUUUGGGAAGCCGAGACGAGCGGAUCACGAGGUCAGGAGAUCGAGACCAUCCUGGCUAACACGGUGAAACCGUGUCUCUACUAAAA
rnacentral:lncRNA from 10 species